AUAUAUUCUCUACCCAAAAUUUCAAGAUAUGAUGCCCUGUAAAUUUAGGAAACUAUGCAAGCAACUUCACGGAUCAAUACAGUGAAAAUGGAAGAACGGGAUGGCUGAGUUCUAAAUGGUUGCUGUUGUGAUUCUUAAUGGCUUUGUCGUCUCUAGGAUGCCCUUCACCAUCAAUAAGUGAAAACGGAAGAGCGGGAAGAGAGUAUAUUUCUCUCUUCCUCCCCUUCCCAAGUCCCUC
rnacentral:lncRNA from 1 species